CUGACCUCAGCUAAUCACUGACCAACUGAGACCAACUGAAGCGAAGCCGAUAUGGAACGUAAACUGUGAUUCUGAAAAAAGUAUAAAGGCCUGCAGCAGGCGACCAACGCAGGAACCCAGAACGAGAAAACAUCUUCAUCAGUAUUUGGCUGUGGUCUAUGGAGUUUGAAGCGUUCCUUCUCAGCCCUAGACCGGCCACCUCUUCCACCAACACCGGGUUGGAGCCGCGGUCUGCGCUGCCUCGUGAGAGGAACGGUCCUCUGGUGGACGGCGGCCGCGGCACCAGGAAGCAAUAGAGAUGUCUUUCGCCAAGAUAAGGAUUACGCCGUCGCAGCAGUCGCUCCUGCGGGCCUCCGAUGCAGCGGCAGCCUUCACCGCCGCCAUGGGGCCACGCGGGCCCCAGGCUCCCGCCAGCGCCAGGAGGCCGGAGGAGGUGGAGAAGGAGGCCCGAGUUGUUUGCUGUAUAUAUUUAUCAUUUUGCAGAGCUAGUUUAUAUAGUUUUUUUUUUGUUGUUCAGUGCAUACACACAGCCAAUUUAUUUCUUUUAUUUUCUUUAAUUUAUUUUCUUAUUGCAUUUGACUGAAUAAAAUAAAAUAUAUUCUCCUUCUAGGCAA